ensembl:lncRNA
AAAUCACAAAAGCUGCAAUUUAAUAAGUAAGUAGUCUGUUGCACUGUGUAUUUCAGAGUGAAGCGCAGCUCUGUUGAUUUACAUGCAAGUUAGCUUGUGAUGCUGUGUUUUCAGCAUCUUGGUUCACAGUAAAUGCAUCCAUCUCUGCAGGUGCUGCAGUUUUAAAGAUGAAAUUACAUGUCUCGAUUAGCACUGUAUUUUUCAUACAUAUUGUUUAAUAAAUGCACUAGGUUUUUACAAUGGUAGAAUAACAUAAUAGUGAACGAAACCAAAUCAAUUUCUCAAGAAAUAGCUGAAAAUCUCAAACGCAGUGGCAUGGGGCAGAAAAUAUCAAGCAAGUACUGUGUGAUAUUCCACAUCAAUGUGUAGUUACAGAAAUGCAGGCAUGACUACACAUAUUUUUAAAUUCACAUAUUUUAAAAUUUCUUUAAAAUCAAGUCCAUCUGUGAAACAAGGAAAAAAAAUAUCUUUCUGUCCUCUAACUGGUAAAAAGUAUAAGGCGCAAUACACAUUUUGCCAAAAAACUUGAAAAGUGUGUUAUGUUGCAUAAACAUUAGGGGAUAUGGUUUUCCUCUGUUUUCCCCUCUCUGCUUCCUGUAACUUGCCACUAGGUUGCCCAAACAGAAACCGGAUGGCAAAUGGAAACUGCAGGGAAGAGGCUAUCAAGUGUUGAAAGAUUCAGAGAGAAUGCAACAGGAUCUGCAGAUAUGUCAGAUGAAGGCAGAUUCAUCUAAAGAAUCGUCCAGAGAGAAGAAGGAGAAAGACUCCAGUAAAGAAAAGGAGCCUAAGGUGUCGUCAAACGAGUCUAAAAGAGAGUCUGCAAAAGAGUCAAAGGAACCCUCAAAGGACAAGGAGUCAACCAGAGAGAAAGAGUCAUCAAAGGAGUCUGGGAAGGAGAAGACGAAGGUGUCCAGGAAGUCCUCAGUGAAGGUCAAAGAGAAGAAGUCAGAGGCAGGAGAUAGCUGAAUACAUUGACAGCUGCUGCACUGAUACAGUUCUGAGGCUCUUUAUUAGUCGGGUUGUCUGUGUAAAGGUUAAUACCUCAUCCUGAUGUUUUGCUGUAAUUCUAGAGUUGAUAGCAUAGUGGCAGAAUUUUUUUUUUAAAAGUGCAUGUUUUCACUGUCUUUGAGGGCAAGUGGACAUGUAGGAGGGGUUUAUAUUUAAACUCAGCUGUCUGCCACUGCAGCAUGUAGUCUGUGUGUCCAUCGUCUCCUAUUGCUCAGUGUGACGUCGGAUCACGGGCACCACGAAAAAUAACCACACCAUCUUAUCUGUGCUGCCUGUCUCACUGUCUGUUUGUGUGACAUUCAGAGCUUUUUAAAUUCCAAUCCAAUUUCUGAAUUUGAAUUAUAUACAGAAUUGCAAUUCAGACUAAAAUAGAAUGAAAUUUAUAUGGACGUGUAGUUUUUAACAAUCCAUUUUAUUUAUCAGGAUGAAAGACCCAUACGAAUGUAAUCAAAUCAACUCUUGAAUUCAAAAAGAGCUGAUUCUUAAAUUCUGAAUUUUGCACAACACUGUUGUGGGUCUACAUUUGUCUCCCUUUCUUCAUGAUGCGGCAGAGUGAGACAUGCAGUUUCUUAUAAACACACACACACACACACACGCAGUCUCAUUCAUACCUAUAUAGAGAAUUCAAGGCCAUAGCAGUGGAUAAUCAUGUACAUACUAUUUUUAUAGUUUUCAUAUAUAUGUGUUCUUAGAAGUAGUAGUAGGCCUAUUUGUAGGUCAUUUUGUCUAAUGUUCCUUAUCUGUAGAAAAUUGUUUGCAUAAAACAAUGUGUAAAAUGAAUGUCAGAAUAAUCUACCUUUACAUCGUAGAAGUCAUCAGAAACAUUCAUAAUACAAAAAUAUCACAUCAUGUUACAUUUUAUAUCAAGAUUUUAAAAGUUGUACCUUUAUUAUUAUUAUUAUGUUCUUUGUUCCAGUUGUUGAAUCAAUAUUACAUUCAUACUAAAGUUUGUUAUAUAGAUUUUAAUGUGAUCUUUUGGUACCAGCUAUGUAUUCUUAGGAAACAUUUCCCUUUAAACCUGAAGCAUUAGAGAGAUCAGUCUCUCCUGUAAAUCGAUUACACUGUCAAUUGAGGCAAUAAAAAUGUCACUCAAUAAUAUAACUUACA